rnacentral:lncRNA from 10 species
GAUUCUUAUAGGAGCGUGAACCUUAUUGUGAACUGUGCAUGGGAGGGAUCUAGGUUGUGCACUCCUUAUGAGAAUCUAAUGCCUAAUGAUCUGUCACUGUCUCCCAUCACCCUCAGAUGGGACUGCCUACUUGCAGGAAAACAAGCUCAGGGCUCUGAUUCUACCUUAUGGGCAGCCAAGCCCUUCAGGACAAGAAGACCCCAGAACAAAGGAGUUUAAGAAAGAGCAGAUGAAAACAAUUCUGGUCCAUAAGAUAGAGAAUAAACCUGCUGGGGAAUUCUGAGAAAGAUGUCUUUGCUCUUUAAAAAGACACUAACAAAAAUUUUGCAUUCAGUAGUGGCUGAGUACCUCCCAUAGGACCACAAACCUCCCACAUGACAAAAUUAUAAAAAACAACUAUGAAAACUCUGGAGAGUGAUCAAAAGGCAUGGAUAUUGGAGGGGAGACAAUACUUGGAAGAAGGGAAUAGCAAUGGAUUUUUUAAAAAAUUUUUUGUAGUUUGUUUGCUGAGGGAAGCCCCUAGUCAGGGAUGUGUGGGGUGGUUAAAACUAGGAUGUAAAGCUCACGCUUGUACUGGCGUGAAAAACCAGAGGACAGAGCUCUGGUGACUACACAGCUGGAAAGUGAGGAAGGAAAUCCUGGAAAGGAGAAGAAGCCAUAAAUGAGUAGCCUCAAAUUCUGUGUAUAGACUCUGCUCAAAUCUCUGAACCCCACAUGUGCAGGACAGACUCCAAGCUGCAUGGCUAAGGCUAAAUUAUCUAAACUAAGAUUUCAGCUCCCAGCCAGAUGCAGUGGCUCACACCUGUAAUCCAGGCAGUUUGGGAGGCUGAGGCGGGAGGAUUGCUUGAUACCAGGAGUUCUAGACCAGCCUGGGCAAUGUAGCAAAACCUCAUCUCUACAAAAAUAAAAAUAAAAUAAAGAUUUCAGCUCCUAUUCAUCAGAGGGAAGAGCAUUUUCAGUUUGAGAGUUCGGCCAAUUUAACGGCUAGCUAAAACAAAUAAACACAAACAGUAAUACUUUUCAGAAGAACAAAAGAAAUCCAGAGUUCCUACACUGUACACUCGCAAUAUUCAGGAGACAGUUCAAAGAUGCUUGACAUUAGAAGCAGGAAAAUGUGACCCAUACAAAAGAGAAAAAGGAAUCAAUGGAGACCAACCUUGAGACAACUCAGAUGUAAAAACUAACAGACAAGAAUUUUAAAGCAGCUAUUAUAACCAUUUUCAAGAAUGUAAAUGAGAAUAUGCUCAUAAUGAAUGAAAAGAAGGGAAACCUCAGCAGAUAAACAAAAACUGUAAAAAGACCUCAGUGGGAAUUCUAGCACUGAAAAAUACAACAUCUGAAAGAAAAAGACAAACAAGCAAUAACCCAUUUUUUUGCCUUUGGCCAUCAUCAGGAUGUGAUGUUUAUUUUGCCACAGUCAACUUCUGGUCAUAAGGAUAGCCAUCCUGAGGACAAGGCCUAUGUGCUGUGCCAUCUAUGGCAGAGCAAGAAGACAGAAGGAAUGUGGGUCUUUAAUCAUGUCUCUGAGCCGCUGGACUAAUUAGAAUUUCCCUGAUGCCAAAUGUCUUGUACUGGGAGAAAAAUAAAAUAUCCUUAUUUAAGCAAUUUCUGUUUGGAUUUUAUGUUACUAACAUGAGAAAGAAAGCGUUGUUGGGGCUCAGAAAAUGAUACCCUAAAAUAUGCUGUUUUGGACUUCAAACUGAGAGUACCUGGGGAGCAGCAAAUGCAGGGAAGGGUUUUCUCUGAAGUUCUCCACCCAGAAGCUUCUCUGGAAGAUAUUAAAUUGUUGUGAAUCCCCUCCCCACAUAUUUCACCUACUGGAGGAAACUGAUGCAUAUUGCAAAAAGGAAGACUAGAGUUGACACCACACCCAGAUCCCAGGCAAAAUUUGUCCCAGGCUAUUGUCUGUUCUUCAGAACCGUUAAUCUCCCCUAAAAAUCAUUUACUCUUCUUCUAAAGUUGCCUAUAUCCCCCCACUUCCUCUCCCCUAUGAAGAGGGUAUUUAAGCUUUAAUCAUCUUGCCCUUCUUUGAGUUUCAAGCUUUGUGGGACUCCCAUUCAUUUGCAUGUUAAUAAAUUGGUAUGCUUUUUCUCCUAUUAAU